GAGUUUGAUUCAUGGCUCAGGAUGAACGCUAGCUACAGGCUUAACACAUGCAAGUCGAGGGGAAACGACAUCGAAAGCUUGCUUUUGAUGGGCGUCGACCGGCGCACGGGUGAGUAACGCGUAUCCAACCUGCCCACCACUUGGGGAUAACCUUGCGAAAGUAAGACUAAUACCCAAUGACGUCUCUAGAAGACAUCUGAAAGAGAUUAAAGAUUUAUCGGUGAUGGAUGGGGAUGCGUCUGAUUAGCUUGUUGGCGGGGUAACGGCCCACCAAGGCGACGAUCAGUAGGGGUUCGUGAGAGGAAGGUCCCCACAUUGGAACUGAGACACGGUCCAACUACCUACGGGAGGCA
rnacentral:rRNA from 1 species